rnacentral:sRNA from 1 species
UGGAAGCGUUCAUCCGGAAAGCCGUCCAAA